UGGGGAAUAUUGGACAAUGGGGGCAACCCUGAUCCAGCCAUGCCGCGUGAGUGAUGAAGGCCUUAGGGUUGUAAAGCUCUUUUGGCAGGGACGAUAAUGACGGUACCUGCAGAAUAAGCCCCGGCUAACUUCGUGCCAGCAGCCGCGGUAAUACGAAGGGGGCUAGCGUUGUUCGGAAUUACUGGGCGUAAAGCGCGCGUAGGCGGACUGGUCAGUUGGGGGUGAAAUCCCGGGGCUCAACCUCGGAACUGCCUUCAAUACUGCCAGUCUCGAGUCCGGGAGAGGUGAGUGGAAUUCCUAGUGUAGAGGUGAAAUUCGUAGAUAUUAGGAAGAACACCGAUGGCGAAGGCAGCCAUCUGGCCCGGUAUUGACGCUGAGGCGCGAAAGCGUGGGGAGCAAACAGGAUUAGAUACCCCUGUAGUCC
rnacentral:rRNA from 1 species